rnacentral:lncRNA from 1 species
UUGUGUUGUAAAUCCAACAAACAAACCCGCAGCUGACAGGGUUUUAGGUCCUAUUGUGGGGACUUUUUACAGUUGUUUAAAGAGAUGUAAUUUCAAACUACCUUCUGAAUGUUUGUAAGUGUAUUCAUGGACAAAUGCUACAUCCAGCAUGACCCACAGAGGAUCUCUCUGCUGUGAACUGUGGUGAAUGCAGAGACUCAUGGCUGCUUACAGUACAGGGCUAAAGGACACUCGAGUACUUAUCUCCAACAGGACACCUAUAGCAUGCCCUCUCCAUCUCAGACCAUUGUGGACGAAGAGUACAAAGAGUGCAGGAGCCAAAAGAUGAGAAGAGGGAAUGGAAAUGCAAUAUUGUGGCCAAGCUUCUUAAUAGCUCUUACACUUCAGUAAGAACUAGGGUCCUGGACUGGAGAGAUGGCUCAGCAGUUAAGAGCACUGACUGCUCUUCCAGAGGUCCUGAGUUCAAUUCCCAGCAACCACAUGGUGGCUCACAACCAUCUGUAAUGAGAUCUGAUGCCCUCUUCCGGUGCUGUUUGGAAAUAGCAACAGUGUACUCAUACAUUAAAUAAAUUAAAAACAAAAAACAAAAAACAAAAAACUAGGGUCCUUGAUUUCCUUAUCUAGAUUCUUGAUUGACUUGUCCAGUGAAUUUUCUAAGUUUCCCCGUUUGCGCAUUUGUUGAUCACGUAACAUUCGUAACAUAAGUGCCCACUGACAAUGGUGGGCUUACACCCUCUUCGUUUAUAUUUUUCCUUUUAUCCAAAUAUUAUACGAGGUUAGUUGGAGCUUGGAAGUUUCCAACUCCUAAAUUUAUAUUUUCUUUGCUGCCUAUGCUGUGAGAGCACACAACCUGUACACAGCCCAGCCCCUUUUGAUUACUGGCUAUCAUCAAAAAUAAAAGCCAAAUUGCCCAGGAGCGUGUUAGCAUUAAGCUCUGUGCAGCUGCGCUGGCAUCUAUAGUCUCUUAGAGACUGCAAGAUAUCUGCCCAAAUCCUUCUGGCUUUUAGAGUCUCUGUUGAGAAGUUGGGUGUAAUUCGGAUAGGUCUGCCUUUAUAUGUUACUCAGCCUUUCCCCCUUGCAGCUUUUAAUACUUUUAAUUUAAUAUUUUCCCUUUGUUAACCAUAGUUAAGUGUUUUCAAUUAUUAUUUGGUGGGAGAAUUUUCUUUUCUGGCUGAAUUUAUUUCACGUUCUGACUUUUUAUAUUUAUAGGCAUUUCUUUGUGUAAGUUACAGAAAUUUUCUUCUAUGAUAUUGUUGAAAGUAUUUUUAGACCUUUGAGCUGGAAAUCUUCCUCUUCUAUUCAUAUUGCUCUUAGAUUUCACGUUUUCACAGAACACCAGAUUUCCUGGAUGUUUUGUGUCAAGAACGUUUUGCAUUGAACAUUUGCUUUGACAGAUGCACAAAUAUAGAAUUGUAAAUUUUUUCAAUAAAAAUUGCAAAAAUAAAGAGCGUAUAGAGUAAU